GAGCAAGGUCGUCGAUUUUACAUCAAAUGGCGAAAAUUUGCAUUGAAGGUUGGCAACAUCGACGCGAUUCUCCGUGCCUUUCAUCUUUUGGGUUUUGAUUGCGGCCUCGAACAAAUCGCCACAUU